rnacentral:rRNA from 1 species
GACGAACGCUGGCGGCGUGCUUAACACAUGCAAGUCGAGCGGAGCGGCGCACGGGUGCGUAACGCGUGAGUAACUGCCCCCCUCUCUGGGAUAACAGUUGGAAACGGCUUCUAAUACCGGAUAGUGGUGGAUGACUCGCGUCCUAUCAGCUUGUUGGUGGGGUAGUGGCUUACCAAGGCGACGACGGGUAGCCGGCCUGGGAGGGAGACCGGCCACAUUGUGCUGAGGGAGGGGCCAAACUCCUACGGGGGGCAGCAGUGGGGAAUAUUGCACGAGGGGGGAAAGCGUGAUGCAGCAACGCGCGUGCGGGAGGACGGCCUUGGGGUGGUAAACCGCUUUCAGCCAUGACGCGGUAGUGGCAGAAGAAGCACCGGCUAACUACGUGCCAGCAGCCGCGGUAAUUC